AUUGAACGCUGGCGGCAGGCCUAACACAUGCAAGUCGAGCGAGCGGCGGACGGGUGAGUAAUGUAUGGGGACUGCCCGAUAGAGGGGGGUAACUACUGGAGACGGUAGCUAUAACCGCAUACUCUCGCAGUACCCCCAUGGGAGUAGCUAGUAGGUGGGGUAAUGGCUCACCUAGGCGACGCUCCCUAGCUGGUCUGUGAGGAUGAUCAGCCACACUGGGACUGAGACACGGCCCAGACUCCUACGGAGGCAGCAGUGGGGAAUAUUGCACAAUGGGCGCAAGCCUGAUGCAGCCAUGCCGCGUGUAUGAAGAAGGCCCUAGGGUUGUAAAGUACUUUCAGUCGGGAGGCGUUACCGACAGAAGAAGCACCGGCUAACUCCGUGCCAGCCGCCGCGGUAAUAC
rnacentral:rRNA from 1 species